GUCUAGGCUCAUACCACCUUGAAAGCCCCUGAUCUCCUCUGAUCUCCGAAGCUAAGCAGGGUUGGGUCUGGUUAGUAUUUGGAUGGGAGACCGCCUGGGAAUGCUGGGUGGUGUAGGCU
rnacentral:rRNA from 1 species